CCUCGGGAGGCUGCAGUGGGGAAUAUUGGACAAUGGGCGAAAGCCUGAUCCAGCCAUGCCGCGUGUGUGAAGAAGGCCUUCGGGUUGUAAAGCACUUUCAGUGGGGAAGAAAGCCUUGGGGCUAAUACCCUCGAGGAAGGACAUCACCCACAGAAGAAGCACCGGCUAACUCCGUGCCAGCAGCCGCGGUAAUACGGAGGGUGCGAGCGUUAAUCGGAAUUACUGGGCGUAAAGCGCGCGUAGGCGGUCUGAUAAGCCGGUUGUGAAAGCCCCGGGCUCAACCUGGGAACGGCAUCCGGAACUGUCAGGCUAGAGUGCAGGAGAGGAAGGUAGAAUUCCCGGUGUAGCGGUGAAAUGCGUAGAGAUCGGGAGGAAUACCAGUGGCGAAGGCGGCCUUCUGGACUGACACUGACGCUGAGGUGCGAAAGCGUGGGUAGCAAACAGGAUUAGAUACCCGGGUAGUC
rnacentral:rRNA from 1 species